AGAGUUUGAUCCUGGCUCAGAACGAACGCUGGCGGCAGGCCUCAAACAUGCAAGUCUAGGGGGUGUAGCAAUACAUCACCGGCGGACGGGUGCGUAACACGUGGGAAUAUACCUUUCGGUACGGAACAACUGCGGGAAACUGCAGCUAAUACCGUAUACGUCCUUGCGGAGAAAGAUUUAUCGCCGAAGGAUUAGCCCGCGUUCGAUUAGCUAGUUGGUGAGGUAAUGGCUCACCAAGGCAACGAUCGAUAGCUGUUCUGAGAGGAAGAUCAGCCACACUGGGACUGAGACACGGCCCAGACUCCUACGGGAGGCAGCAGUUGGGAAUCUUGGACAAUGGGGGAAACCCUGAUCCAGCCAUGCCGCGUGAGUGAUGAAGGCCUUCGGGUUGUAAAGCUCUUUUACCCGGGAAGAUAAUGACUGUACCGGGAGAAUAAGCUCCGGCUAACUUCGUGCCAGCAGCCGCGGUAAUACGAAGGGGGCUAGCGUUGUUCGGAAUUACUGGGCGUAAAGCGCGCGCAGGUGGUUUCUCAAGUCAGUGGUGAAAGCCCGGAGCUCAACUCCGGAACUGCCAUUGAAACUGUGAAACUUGAGGACGAGAGAGGUGAGUGGAAUUCCCAGUGUAGAGGUGAAAUUCGUAGAUAUUGGGAAGAACACCGGUGGCGAAGGCGGCUCACUGGCUCGUAUCUGACACUCAAGCGCGAUAGCGUGGGGAUCAAACAGGAUUAGAUACCCUAGUAGUCC
rnacentral:rRNA from 1 species